rnacentral:rRNA from 1 species
UGUCCAGGGGGCCGCCUUCGCCACCGGUAUUCCUCCAGAUCUCUACGCAUUUCACCGCUACACCUGGAAUUCUACCCCCCUCUACAAGACUCUAGCCUGCCAGUUUCGAAUGCAGUUCCCAGGUUGAGCCCGGGGAUUUCACAUCCGACUUGACAGACCGCCUGCGUGCGCUUUACGCCCAGUAAUUCCGAUUAACGCUUGCACCCUCCGUAUUACCGCGGCUGCUGGCACGGAGUUAGCCGGUGCUUCUUCUGCGGGUAACGUCAAUCGAUGAGGUUAUUAACCUCACCGCCUUCCUCCCCGCUGAAAGUGCUUUACAACCCGAAGGCCUUCUUCACACACGCGGCAUGGCUGCAUCAGGCUUGCGCCCAUUGUGCAAUAUUCCCCACUGCUGCCUCCCGUAGGAGUCUGGACCGUGUCUCAGUUCCAGUGUGGCUGGUCAUCCUCUCAGACCAGCUAGGGAUCGUCGCCUAGGUGAGCCGUUACCCCACCUACUAGCUAAUCCCAUCUGGGCACAUCUGAUGGCAUGAGGCCCGAAGGUCCCCCACUUUGGUCUUGCGACGUUAUGCGGUAUUAGCUACCGUUUCCAGUAGUUAUCCCCCUCCAUCAGGCAGUUUCCCAGACAUUACUCACCCGUCCGCCGCUCGUCACCCGAGAGCAAGCUCUCUGUGCUACCGCUCGACUUGCAUGUGUUAGGCC